CAGGACUAGUGGGUGAGGGUACAGGCUUUGCGGCUGGACUGCCUGCAUUCAAAUCCCAUCUCCACCUGUUCUUAACUGAUGUUGGGCAAAUCACUUAAUAACCUCCUGUGGAUCUCAGUUCCCCUUCUGUAAAAUGGGGGAAAUUAUAAUACCGGUUUCACAGGUUAUCACAAGGACGAAAUGACUCCGGCCUAAAGCACUGAGCACACUGCCUGGGACACGACAGAAGAUGAUGCGAUGACAAAGCAGAGGGACAGAGAGAAAGAGAUCUGAAGAUGCCACCCUGCUGGCUUUGAAGAUGGAAAAAGGGCCAAAAGCCAAGAGAUGUAGGUGGCCUCUGGAAGCUGAAGGGGCAAGGAAACAGAUCUCCCCUGGAGCCUCUAGAAGGACCUGGCUCUACCAACAUCUUGACCUUGGCCCAGCGAGCCUGGUCCCAGAUGUCUGGCCUCCAGAGCCGAGAGAGGACACAUUUGUGUUGUUGGAAGGCACUGCAUUUGUGGUGAUUUGUUACAGCAGCCACAGGACGCUAAACAACCACUGAGUCAGCCCGUCCCCUGCAGCUCUCUCAGCGGCAGCCUGGUUCCCGAAAACAGCAAGAAUGAAGCCGGCCUCAUGGAGCUGACACCUGGCAGGGUACAUCAUCGAGCAGUGGGCAGUUGCAACGCAUCGCAGGGGACACCUGCGGCUGGCGACACGGAGAAGGGCCCCCGCUCAGCCUGAAGCAUCAGGGAAGACUUGCUCAACAAGGGCUGCUUCAGCAGAGGCUGGGAAGAUGAAUAGGACUUAACCGGGAGGAAAAGGGAAGGGGGGAUACCAAACAGAGGGAGCAGUGAGUGCAAAGGCCUGGAGGUGAGAGAGAGCCCAAUCAUUUGAGCAACUGAAGUGAUACAGCCCGGACAGAGGACAGGGUUUGAAGGGGAAACGAUAGAAGCCUGUGGUGCAACGGUUAGGCGUCGAGCUCUGUGAGUGCUUGAGUUGAGGCCCAGCCUCGCUAUCUCCCAGCUUUGUGAUUUGGGGCAAGUAACUUGACCUCUCUGUGCCCUAGUUUCCUCACCUGCCUGACAGGGAUAACACAUGGUACUUACCUUACAGGGUCCUGGGAGGUUUAAACACAGCUACAGCACAGAGCAAAGGGCUCAAGAAAUCUGUCAUUUGGGGCUGGCCUGGUGGUGCAGCGGUUGGGUGCACACGCUCCACUUCGGUGGCCCGGGGUUCACCAGUUUGGAUCCCCGGUGCAGACAUGGCACUACUUGGCAAGCCAUGCUGUGGAGAGCAGCAGCUGGAGGAGUAGGGAAGGAGGGUCUGGUGCUUCCUGCUUCUCGCCAUGGUGGGCUCACUGGUUUUAGGUCAGCCUUCCCACCCAGAACACCUAGAAGUGGCCCAGAAAGAUGCGCCUGAAAUUGGGAGUUGCUUUUCCCCUCAAGGUGUGUACUGACUGGGGCCGUGGAGAGGCUGAGAAGCUGGCAGAGCUUUGGUGUCUCAAAGUCUCGGGGAACAAAAAUUGGAGUGCAGGACCCAUCAUGGUGGCCGAUCUGUGAAAAAUGCCCCAG
ensembl:lncRNA